ACAGCACGUCAGUUUCAACAUAAACCAUGUUUUCUGUAGCUCUGCUGCUGCUGUUGGCAGCUGGAUGUGUGAAGUGUGAACAGUUGACACAGCCAGCCUCUGUGACUGUGCAGCCAGGUCAACGUCUGACCAUCACCUGUCAGGUCUCUUAUUCUCUGAGUGGCUAUGGCACACACUGGAUCAGACAGCCUGCAGGGAAAGGACUGGAGUGGAUUGGAUAUGGUUGUGUUGGAUGCACCAGUUAUUACACAGAUUCUCUGAAGAACAAAUUCAGUAUUGACUUUGACUCUUCCAGCAACACAGUGACUCUAAAUGGACAGAAUGUGCAGCCUGAAGACUCUGCUGUGUAUUUCUGUGCCAGAGACUCACAGUAACACAAACCAUCAGUGGAGCUGAACAAAAACCCCUCAGUGCCUGAACACUUGGAACAUGAAGCCACCAGAGGAGGAGCCCUCAGACCACUAAUGAUUUCAACACCAGCUCACCGUUAAAGAGCAGUUGAAAAGCAUAACGGAAUAUAAUUAUUAUAAUAUUCAAUAUCGAUAAUAUUAAAUAUACAGGGGAGGCAUCUUCCACAAAGUGUCUCUUCCUCCUGACUCACAAUAGUUAUAAGUUCACUAAACCAGUUCUCCUCAGCCUCUCUCCAUGGUCAAUGUGACCAACUUGAAUAAAAUGAAAUAACUGAAUCA